rnacentral:rRNA from 1 species
UACAGAGGUGGCAAGCGUUGUUCGGAAUUACUGGGCGUAAAGGGCGCGUAGGCGGCCAUCUAAGUCAGACGUGAAAUCCCCCGGCUUAACCUGGGAACUGCGUCUGAUACUGGACGGCUGGAGUUUGGGAGAGGGAUGUAGAAUUCCAGGUGUAGCGGUGAAAUGCGUAGAUAUCAGGAGGAACACCGGUGGCGAAGGCGGGUCUCUGGGCCGAUACUGACGCUGAGGAGCGAAAGCGUGGGGAGCGAACAGG